UGGCUUAACCAUAGAACUGCUUGGGAAACUGGUAAUCUAGAGUGAGGGAGAGGCAGAUGGAAUUGGUGGUGUAGGGGUAAAAUCCGUAGAGAUCACCAGGAAUACCCAUUGCGAAGGCGAUCUGCUGGAACUCAACUGACGCUAAUGCGUGAAAGCGUGGGGAGCAAACAGGAUUAGAUACCCUGGUAGUCCACGCCCUAAACGAUGUAUACUAGUUGUUGCUAAGCUAGUCUUGGCAGUAAUGCACCUAACGGAUUAAGUAUACCGCCUGGGGAGUACGGUCGCAAGAUUAAAACUCAAAGGAAUAGACGGGGACCCGCACAAGCGGUGGAGCAUGUGGUUUAAUUCGAAGAUACGCGAAGAACCUUACCCGGACUUGAUAUCUAACAAAUCAUCCAGAGAUAGAAGAGUGUCUGCUUGCAGAAAUGUUAAGACAGGUGCUGCACGGCUGUCGUCAGCUCGUGUCGUGAGAUGUUGGGUUAAGUCCCGCAACGAGCGCAACCCACGUCAUUAGUUGCUAACAGUUC
rnacentral:rRNA from 1 species